rnacentral:rRNA from 1 species
GACGAACGCUGGCGGCGUGCUUAACACAUGCAAGUCGAACGGAAAGGCCCUGCUUUUGUGGGGUGCUCGAGUGGCGAACGGGUGAGUAACACGUGAGUAACCUGCCCUUGACUUUGGGAUAACUUCAGGAAACUGGGGCUAAUACCGGAUAGGAGCUCCUGCUGCAUGGUGGGGGUUGGAAAGUUUCGGCGGUUGGGGAUGGACUCGCGGCUUAUUAGCUUGUUGGUGGGGUAGUGGCUUACCAAGGCUUUGACGGGUAGCCGGCCUGAGAGGGUGACCGGCCACAUUGGGACUGAGAUACGGCCCAGACUCCUACGGGAGGCAGCAGUGGGGAAUAUUGCACAAUGGGCGGAAGCCUGAUGCAGCAACGCCGCGUGCGGGAUGACGGCCUUCGGGUUGUAAACCGCUUUCGCCUGUGGCGAAGCGUGAGUGACGGUAAUGGGUAAAGAAGCACCGGCUAACUACGUG